AGGCUGCAACUCGCCUACAUGAAGUUGGAAUCGCUAGUAAUCGCGAAUCAGAAUGUCGCGGUGAAUACGUUCCCGGGUCUUGUACACACCGCCCGUCACACCACGAGAGUUGGGAAUACCCGAAGCCUGUGAGCUAACGUUAAGAGGCAGCAGUCGAAGGUAGAAUCAAUGAUUGGGGUGAAGUCGUAACAAGGUACC
rnacentral:rRNA from 1 species